GAACCCGGGUGACGGCAAAAGUCUGAGCCCAGAGUGAAGGGAGGAGGUUUCUCUUUCGGAUUUGGGAAGCUUGGAGGCGGGAAGGAGAGGAGCAAUGGCCGAGGGGGACCCAGCUCCAGAGCCUGGUGGCAACAUCAAACCUUUUACACCAGAACAAGCUAAAGAAAUUGUGAUGUCUCUCCAGAAACCUGCAGUUUUCUGCAAUAUGGCUUUUGAUUGGCCAGUGCGUCAUUGGAGUGUUACAUAUCUAGCUAAUCUAUUUAAGGGAAAGAGAAUACUUUUUAGAAUAGGAACGAAGGACAUGGACACAGCUCCUCUGUUUGAAACCAAGUGCAGUUAUGUAGAAGCCACACUUGAAGAGUUUCUUGCCUGGAUUGGAAGACAGCCUUCUAAUUCUUCUGGACCAUUCAAGGCUUAUGAUUUGUAUAAAUACUGGACUUAUGCUGAUUAUAAGUACAUUGCUAGAUUAUUUGAAGACAAGCCAGAACACUUCCAGGAUAUAGUAUGGUCUGAUUUUGGAUUUGAGGGACGAAAUGGAAGAGAAAGUACUCUGUGGAUUGGCUCAAGAGGAGCAAACACUCCAUGCCAUUUGGACUCCUAUGGCUGCAAUUUAGUGUUACAAGUACAGGGGAGGAAAAGGUGGUAUUUAUACCCACCUGAAGAUACCACUCUUCUCUAUCCUACUAGAAUUCCCUAUGAAGAGUCUAGUGUGUUCAGCCAAGUCAAUGUAGCCAAUCCUGAUUUGACAAGUUACCCCCAGUUCAAGAAAGCACAGGCCCAUGUAAUUACACUUGAGCCUGGCCAGGUCCUGUUUGUUCCCAGGCACUGGUGGCAUUAUGUGGAAUGCAUUGACCCCAUCACUGUUAGUGUAAAUUCUUGGAUUGAACUGGAUGCAGACCAUGAAGCCCGCGUAGAAGAGGCAAUAACUCGAACACUGAUAUGUGCAAUCAAAUCUGCAGAAACCCCUGAUGCAUCAGAUUCCUGGCUCAACCCCACUGAGGUUGAAGUAACAUCUCAUGAAACCAACUUCCAGUACUUAAAUGAAGCUGUGUCUGCAUAUUUAGAGCACCAGAAGACCAGUAGAAGUGGUGGAUCUCGUGAUGCUGAGGGAAUUCUUCAAGAUCCAUGUAAAAAAAGGAAAAUCCAAGUAAACGCAGAACCAGGGGACUUAAGAUUCAACCUCUGUGAAUCCCAUUUAACAGGAAUCAAAACAAAAAACUUUGAAAAAAUUCCCUUUGGACCAAAACUCUUGCAGGUUUUACCACUGUCUCAGGCAACAUGUGUAACAGAAACAGCUGAGCAUAGCUCCCAAGACCUUUUCAGUGAAAAUCAUGGAUGCUUUGGAAGAUUACACAAUGCAGGGAACACAUUUGGAAAAGGUAGCGAUCCCAAAGCAUCUGUUGAUCAGAAAGAUCAAGACUUGAGUGCUGAUUCCCCACAAACAGUCAUUAGCACAAAUGAUUUGCUAGAUUGUGUCCUGCAUCCCCAAGUUGUCAGCUUAAUGACUCAUCUUUUGCUGGAAAGGGCAAGUGUUUAACAUUCUAUGUACUUUUCUUUUUGAAAAAUAAUGGCCUAAUCAAAUGUGGUGUAUACGGUUCUUCUGUUUAUUUACUCAGGAAUAACACUCCAGCAGCAUUUUUAAAAGUAUACUGUAGUUGUAGGCUUUGAGCCAUUAUGGUGCAGUGGUUUGAGUGUUGGACUGUGACUGGAGACGAGGGAUGAUUCCCAGCUUGGCCAUGAAACCCAUUGGGUGACCUUGGGCAAGUCACAAGCCUCAGGGGAGAACACUGGCAAGCCUCCUCUGAAAAAAUCUUGCCAAGAAACCCCCAUAACAGGGUUGCCAUUUAGUCGGAAAUGACCUGAAGGCACACAAGGACAACAGGUUUUCAAACAGCAUAGCAGUCAAGCAUGUCAAAGCUUUUGAGGACAAAUGAAAAUUAUAUUGUCAUUAAAAUGCUUAACAUUCUUGCCAAAUAAGCUUUACAACAAAGUUGUCUGGCUAGUCAGUAUUAUUCUCCCUGUAUUGCAGAUGUCCGCUCCAUCUGAUGAUGCAGAAUGUAUCUGCAGUUUUUAGUGAAAAAUAAGAUGCACUGAGAUAGAACAUCUGUUUUCUGGAGGGGAAAAUAUAUACAGCAGUCUCCGGGGUCUUUCUGGGCUAAUGUCAUUUGGCAUGGGUGAAAAAUCUUGCUGUCACUCCACCUUUCUUUUUAAUGCAGUGUCUCAAUGCGUCAAGAUGCCCUGUCUUAUUGAGGAUGAGAAACUUGGUAAAUAUCUGUUACAUUCCUACUAACAUGUAAUGCAGAACUCUGAUUUGACACUGUGGACAGUCAGCUGAUUCAGUUAAUGAGUAAAUCAUUGGGUUUGUAUACUUCUCCUUUUUAUUUUGCUCUGAAGGAAUCCUAGCUUAGGGUUAGAUUCAAGCUGGGAGUCCUUUUUUGUUUUGAUUUUUAGAUAGCCAUGGUGGGAAGUUUCUGUGCAAUUUCAAACUAUGAUUUGUAAACCUGUCUGCUUACUGAAUAUACUUGUAUAUAAAUUGAGAAUUUUUCUUCAAAACAAUUGACUAAAAAACCUGAGUCAGCUUAUCCAUGGGUUACUGUAAGUACUGUACUUUAACUCUUAUCAAAAAAGAGAACCUUCCCUUCUCAAAGUAGAGUGGUGAGAGGCCUUUAUGAAUGCCUGGGCGGAAAAUGGCUGUGAUAGCAGCCAGAGGCUGUAAAGGGUGGAAUCACUGCUAAUGUAGUCACCAUUUGCUUUGCUUUGCCUUUACUUUCUUGUUGAGAUGUGCACAUUUUCUUAGCCCCACUCACAUUUGGUUGCUUCCUACACACAUCACACAGCCACCAAUUACAGUAGUUCCCUCUUCAUUCAUCCAGCCUUUAGGGUGAAAAGUUAGACCUGCCAGAAUUUUGUAAGUUCUUUGGCAUUGUUUUUCCUUUGCUUUAUCCUUUAUAUCCUAUGUUACAUGAAUCUACAUUUUACUCUCAAUUUAGCCACAGAUCACAUCAAAAUCUAUAAUUUUGGCCCCAAUGCUAUUUCUCAAUUUAUACAUGAGGUCAAGUCACUUUUUAGGAAAUAUGGUAUUUUAUAAAACAAACUUAGCAUUCUGGUUCACUAUGGUAUUUCUCUUUUUAAAAAAUGUGUGUAUUUGAACAUUAGAGUAUGGAACAUAAUCAUUUUGUACUACAAUUCCCUGAAUAUCUCAGCAUUUUUUUUAAUCUGUGGGAAUACUUGGAAGCUAUAAUAAAAAAGGAUUUUUUUUUCCAAACUGAAAUUAACACAGUCCUUAAUAAAUGUAUAUAAAAACAAACAUCAACUUAAAAUAAUAUAUCUCACUAACAUUCUCUUUUCAGAAAUUCAUGCAUUACAAGAAUUAAUAUGAGCAUAAAUGCAGGUGGGAAAGAGCAAGGCUAGUCCAAUCCCAAUCUCCAUCUCUAUCGGCUUUAUAUCCACACUUCCUACAUUGAACAGGAAGACUUGUGUCAUUGUAUGAAUGAAGUUAGACUCCUUUCUACAACUGGAAACAGGGAGGUAUCCAAUCAGAGAGAAGAUUCUUUCAGCCAGAUAUAUAAAGUUCUUCCCACUCAGGCUGCAUCAGCACUGCAGAAAUAAUCCAAUGUAUGGGAAUCUGGGAACUGUUUAUUUGGGAGACAUUUAUCCUUCUCUGUCAGAGAGCUCUGAUGCCAUAACAAACUACAGCUCCCAUAAUUCCAUGAAAUGGAACCAUGACAGUCAAAGUGGAUUACAUCUGCAGUGCAGAUGUAGCCUAUGGCGCGGUACAAACUGCCAAAAAGCAGCGUACCAGCGCCAGUAUUAGGGGUAGGGAGCGUGCACCAUGUACACGCUCCCUAACCCUAAUACAUGCUAGUGGUGGCAUAAUGGCAGCGCACUGUACACGGGCACUGUCAUUAUGACGUCACGGUCGUGCUGUGUCCAAACAGUGAAGCAUGAGCGUGAUGUGUUCGCGCCGCCCCAGGCCACUUACAGUGGCCUGGCUGCAGUGCUAGAAGGAGCUCUGAAACAGAGCUCCUUCUGGGAGGGCACCUUGGUCCCGCAGCCACAAAACGGCUGCAGGAACGAUGCAAUGAUGAAGGGGGCCAAGUGGCCCCUUUCUCCUCUGGCUGUGGCUCCCGGGGUAUCCAGGGGCAUGAAGCCCCAAGGACAUCCCUUUUCCAGGCCACGGGGAAGCGGCAUUUUUCCGCUUCUCUGUGGUCUGGAAAAGCGCUGGGUUGGAGCUGCUGGGGCUGCUGGUGAGGUUGCCCUGCCUCCAAACUGGCAAAAAAGGGGCAAUCUGUACCCCGCCUAUAUGACCUAAAUCCUGUUGUUAGCCAUGGCUAUAGUAGACCCAUGAAAUCGGUGUCAACCCAUGUGUUGACUCACCAUGGUUUGAAUGGCUCUGCUGUAUCUGGGAGUAACCAACAGAGUGUCAGUCUGUGUGUCCAUCCCCUUCCAGACCUUAUGUCAAUUUGGCAAAAAUGAUUGUUUGUUUUGUUAAAAGUUGGCUCCCAGACUUGAGACUUGACUUGAAAAGAUCUUGCAAGGACUUGAGACUUGCAGGUAGAGACCCGAGACUUGACUUGAGACUUGGACUUAAAGACUUGAAUGCAUCACUAGAUCUUUCUCACUAUAUUGUUGCAGCACUAUGAUUCCACUGUAACUGCCAUGGGAAUCCUGGGGCUUGUUCACUAGAGUGGUUUGGCUGAGAAUUUAAAUGCCUCUCUGUAAACUGUAAAUCCCCAGAGUCCAUAGGAAGGAACAGUAGAAGUUAAAGUGGAAUCUCAGCACUAUGACUGUGUAGUGGAAAAGGGCCAUGGGUCUAUUUAGUAUGUGUAAAUACAUGGCUGGAUGAUGUUCUACUUUUCAAACAGAGAACCCCCUGUUGUCUGAGGAGGAAAAUAGCACCUGAGGCGAUUACAUCUAAACUUAUGGGAUAGUUUUAUAUGAGUUUCUGAUCUUGAAGCUCAAGCCCUAAGCAGACUUACAUGCUGGAACUAAACCUUAUUGAACUCUGUAGGAAAAAUGUCCAUGCUGUGCAGUCCUGUACUGUUUCCUGAGAGUAAAUCACACCAGACAGUGGAAUUUAUGAACCAUAGAUAGACUUAUGCAAUAAAAUCUGGACCUUUUUGCUCAGAGAGUAGCAAACAUUUUCAUUUCUAUUCUCUAGCGUAGAAACUGCUAUGUAUGCUUGUGUAGAGAAUAUUUCAAUAUGGCUAUUCAGAAUUUACUUUUUUUCUUCCUGAAGUAGGAAAAAUGUUGUUGUUUUUUAUUUUUCUUUACUCAUUGUACUCUAUUCCAUUUCUUUCAUUUAGAUUUUAUUUAUUAACAUUUAUCUGAUGUCACCUGUUAGUUGUCUUCAAAAUGAUUUUUGUUUCUCCUGAAUUUUCCUGUGGUAUUCAUUUCAUUUGCACUGGUUUAAUUUAUCCACAAAUGAUUGUUCAAAGGUCACUGACAUGUUUUUGUGAUUUUCCUAUGAACCAGUUCUGAACUCCUGCCUGCCCCCGCUGCUGAGAAAGAUGAUUUUGGCAUAUAUGUCAUGAAACUAACAAUAACCUCAUAUAGCUCUAAUUGGCUUGCUUCAUCCCAAUACUUCUAGUUUUCUAAUAAGCCACACUGCUUCGUUUCCCACCAUUAAGCUUUGAAUCAUUUUGGAAGAGUAUUUUGUCAGUUUCCUUAGUUACAGCAUCUUCCUGACAUCCUUUUAAAAAAAUCCAUAGCAGCUUGUCAACCAGCCUUGAUUCAAUUCAAAUUGCUUCUUAGUCCUGGGCUAUAGAACAUGUGGCCCUCUAGAUGUUGUUGACAUUCAUUUCCCAUCAACCUCAGCUGGCCUUGCCAGUUGGGAGGCAUGAGGAGAGAAGCAGUUCAUCUACAUCUAGAUGGCCUUGGGUUCCUCAACCUUGACAUAGUUGAUUAUCAUUAUUCACUGUUCUACAUCAAACAGAUUUUUCAUUUGCGCACCUCGAAUGUGCCGUAGGAAAAUUUAUAAAUGGUGUCCCUAACAAUGCUGUGUACAGAAGCCAGCCACACCAGUACAAUGGAUUUUACUUCCACACUAGUAACAAAACAGCAUCUGAAGACUUCAGGUAAACUUAGUAGGCACAAGAGAGACCAUACAGCAUACACAGUGUUCUCCAACCUCACUUCCACUAAUUCAGGGCCUCACCUGGCACAUGUCCGCUCAAGCAAAUGCAGCACUGCAGCACAGAGACAGCUGCUGCACCAGCAUCUGUUACACGGGAUGGCUACCUGCCUUGUUGCUCAGUCUUUCCCAACAGCAUUCCUCUGCAAUGCAUGGUGAUAAAUCAACUAGGUGAAGCCUGAUGUCUGGGGCAGCCCCCCACAGCCAUCACCACUUCUUAUGUGUGUGGUUGGGAGAGCAGGGACAGGAUUUAUGGGGUUGCCAUGGUUCCUCCCCCAGACAUGAUACCUGAGGCAGACACCUUGCUCUGCCUUGUGAUCCAUCAUCUUUAUAACAGUCUUUACACAUUUGAAGAUGACUCAAUCAUCUCUUUUCCAGACUAAAUAUACCCAGCUUCUUUUCUUACAGGAGCUGGUUCACAUCCUCCAGAAUAUGAAGCAGAUUUGCAUCUUCCUUUACAAGGAACUGUUCUUUCAAAUAAUUUCUUUUGAAAUUCUAUUACCACAUUCAGGUGGCCUCGAAAUGUCUGUUUUAAUAGGU